ensembl:lncRNA
GUCUGAGCCAGGUCGGCCUGGGAAAUGGGGAGCUCCAGGCCUCAGCCUAGCGUGGCCGCACGUGACCCCGGGGCUGGAGCUGCGGGCUGACUGGGGUGGCCGCGUGGACACUACCCUCCGGCGGGACCGAGGAGCAGCUGCUGGGAGUCUGUGUCCCUCCCGCUGCUCCUGGACAUUCCCAGGCGGCACGGAACUCAGAUUUCGGGGAUUAAGAUCAAGCCCCCGGAGGCGAGUGCGCCGCGGAGAGCAGACGGAGACUGGGAUUCUUCCAGAGCCGCCGAAAAGUCCGCGCGCUGGACAGAGAACUCAGCUCCAACUUGGGCGGCUCAGAUCAACCCCAGUGGUGGGACUGACAUAGGAAAACGAACGGAUUUAUUUUAAAUAUUGCUCACAUUUCACUCAGAUGUUGCCGGUCUACAGAGCGAGAUAGGAAUAGAGAGAAGGAAAGAGAUAAGGAAAGGGAGGCGGGAGGAGAGAGACAGCGGGAGGGAGGAAGGGAGAGAGAAAGUCAGUGAUGAGGGUCCCUUUCCUCCAAAAGCCAAGGCAAGGAUGACAAGGAGUAGACAACCAGUAUACAGGAGGGCUUGCUCUGGGCACGGCUCUGAGCUCUCCAUCUUUACAGUUAUCUAUUCAGGUAGUAAUAUCAUCCUCUCCAGUUUAUAAAGGAGGAAACUGAGGUACGGAGAGUCGUAAACUAGCCCAAAGGCAUACCUCCAGCAAGUGGGAAAUGAAGACUGCAACCUAUGCCCAGCUCUGGAGGAGCCAGAUGGGGACCGGUUUGCUCAAAGGACUGUCGAAGUCCCCCUGCAGGCCCCAGGAGGAUGGGGUUAUAAUUUCCCCGCACAGGGGCGAGGCCUCCGCUCUCCCAGGUGCUCAAGGGGGCCUCGAUCCCUCCAGCGGCCGGCGUUUGCCUGCCGGGGUCCGUCAGGGGAGCCCUCCGCCCGCGCGCCGUCCAGGCCCGGCCGGGGCAGGGCUAGCGCCGCGUCGGGCAGGUCUCCCGUCCUCGGCCGGGGCUGGAAUCCCAAAGCCUCGGCCCGCUGCCGGAGACGACCUUGCCUUUCCUUCCCCCGGACGAGCCAGCCCAGCCCGAGAGCAGCGCGGAGGCCGCAGCGUCUCCUUGCUGGUCUUGUCCGUGUUCUUCCCUCGCGCUGCCCAGCCCAGUGACCCCGGAGAGGGCCGAGCGCACCGGGCGGGCGGCGCGGGCAGAGACGCUGGUCCGGGCAGGCCCGCUGGCCCGCGAUCCCCGGAUGCGGCAUCCCAGCCCGGCCUCCACGCUCCGUGGCUGGUCUCAGCGACUGCGAGGGUGCUCAUCAAGGUCUAGACUUUUCCAGACUUGCUUCUGGGCAGCAGGCGAGGACCCCGACUGGGACGUGCAGAGAGCUCGGGUCCCAUGGAGACGAGAAGUCUCCGGCCUUCCCCAGACCCGUGCCUUAACUGGCCUGGCGCAGACGAAGAGGGUCUCGGGGGAGGUUGAGGCCCGUGGCAAAAUCUCGAGGACCCAGCGUCUCUCAGCCGCGCUGAGGCGGUCGCCCCUGGGGAUGGCUCUGCUCCCAGGCCCCGGCAGUCCGUCGGGGGUCAGGGUCACCACGGUCGCGUGCAGCACCUGGACGAGGAUGGAAGCCGGGAUGGGGAGGAAAGGACGCGCAUCCUGCGGGACGGAAGGAAGGGACCUAGGACCAGCAUUGCCAGGAGGCUUAAGACCCCCGUCCCUCCCUUGACCCCAGGCAACCCUCAGGCCAACGGGAAAGACCUCGGCCCGAGCCUGAGCCUGGUGCCACGCAGAAGGCGUUUCCUGUUGGUUCGACUGCACUUGGGCCGGGUGAGAGGACUUCCCGGGCAGAGAGAAAGGGGCAGCCUCGGCUUACUUCAGGAAAGCGCAGGUGUUUGGACCUUGAGCCAAAAUACAUCAAAGAAGAGAUCCCCUCCCACCCCCAGCUUACAGUCUCUCAGCUAUCAAGUGUGGACUCGACAGGAAUGUUGCAAGGAAAAACUAAUUAAACGGCAGUACAAUGCUUUGAAAAUA